rnacentral:rRNA from 1 species
UGGGGAAUAUUGGACAAUGGGCGCAAGCCUGAUCCAGCCAUGCCGCGUGAGUGAUGAAGGCCUUCGGGUUGUAAAGCUCUUUUGUCAGGGAAGAUGAUGACGGUACCUGAAGAAUAAGCCCCGGCUAACUUCGUGCCAGCAGCCGCGGUAAUACGAAGGGGGCUAGCGUUGUUCGGAAUUACUGGGCGUAAAGGGUGCGUAGGUGGUUUAGUACGUCAGAAGUGAAAUCCCCAGGCUCAACCUGGGAAUUGCUUUUGAGACUACUAGACUUGAGUACAGGAGAGGUGAGUGGAAUUCCCGGUGUAGAGGUAAAAUUCGUAGAUAUCGGGAGGAACACCAGUGGCGAAGGCGGCUCACUGGCCUGUAACUGACACUGAGGCACGAAAGCGUGGGGAGCAAACAG